AGAUAAUCGCAGUUAUACAUGACGAAAGGGUAUAAUUGAGGAAAGUCCGAACCUCACAGGGCAGGAUGCCGGAUAACAUCCGGUGAAGGCGACUUCAAGGAAAGUGCAACAGAAAAUUACCGCCAUGUUAAAUGGUAAGGUUGAAAAGGUGGUGUAAGAGACUACCGAGGUUAAGGUAACUUAAUCUGCCAUGUAAACCCCAUCCGAGGCAAGACCGAACAGAAUUACAGUCGGCCCGACUUUUAUUCAGGUGGGUUGCUUAAGUUAAGCGGCAACGCUUAAAUCAGAUAGAUGAUUAUCAGAUACAGAAUUCGGCUUACAGUUUUACUCA
rnacentral:RNase_P_RNA from 1 species